UACAGAGGUCUCAAGCGUUUGUUCGGAUUCAUUGGGCGUAAAGGGUGCGUAGGCGGCGCGGUAAGUCGGGUGUGAAAUCUCGGAGCUUAACUCCGAAACUGCAUUCGAUACUGCCGUGCUUGAGGACUGGAGAGGAGACUGGAAUUUACGGUGUAGCGGUGAAAUGCGUAGAUAUCGUAAGGAAGACCAGUGGCGAAGGCGGGUCUCUGGGCAGUAACUGACGCUGAGGAGCGAAAGCGUGGGGAGCGAACAGG
rnacentral:rRNA from 1 species